rnacentral:lncRNA from 1 species
GUGGUUUUGCCCCUAAGGCGUUUGCUUCCAACCAUGGUUGUUUGGAAGGCUUCGGUGGAUUGGAAAAUAGGAGGAACGGAUUCCUUGAGCACGCGUUGAGUAUACCUCGUGCUCUCAAUGAAAGCACCAAUUUGUUUGUGCAAAUAAUCUCACGGGAGAAUAUUCGCCCAAUAUUCCUUCGUCUUCUCCGCCUCUCUUUCUCCCUGCAAAACAGAUCGGAGUAAAAGGACCACACCCGGGGGGUGUUGGCCAAAGGCCCUCCGAUGCCUAAGUUAGGUAGGGUAAUUCAAGGAAAACCGGGUGGCCGGAGCCGUGUGUGGUGGCC